UUUACAUUUUUUUUUACUUUUUUUUUACAUUUUUUUAGGUUUUUUUUAAUAUUUUUUUAUUAGAGCCAUUAACCCUUUCCUUCCCCACUAUUUUUGCUGCAAUUGUUACCAUGCAGCGGUAUACGGCUGAGGAGGCAUGUUCCAAAUGUGGCCCUUUUGGCCCCAAACAAUCUGACAAACCCAUGCAUGUGGGGUAUCAAUGUACUCAGGAGAUCAAAAACAAUUACUAUCACAAACUUUGACAAGGGUUGGUGGUAGGAUUAGUGCAUGGAAAGGGUUAAACUAUCAGCAUCUAAAAUACCCUGGGGUGUCUAGUUUUCAAAAAUAUAUGGUUUGGUGGGGUAAAUUUAAUUUGCUGGCUUCAAAGAUGCCCCAAAUACCACAUGGAGACAGAAUUACCAGAUUCAGAGAAAAAUGGUUUUGAAUUAGCAAAACGCUACUUGUACUUAUUGCCCCAUAAUGUGUAGAAGAAAGCAAAAAAACAUAAAAACAUUGGGUAUUUCUAAACUCGGGACAAAUAGUAGAAUCUAUUUAGCAGGUUUUUUCAGUAGUUUUUUAUGAUGAAUAAAAGAUUUUUCAAAUAAAAGUGAGAAAAUUUGUUUUUUUUUUCAAUUUUUCGUCAUAUUUUAUUAUUUUUAUUAUAGGAAAUUACAUCAUAUAUAAAAAAUUAUGGUGUCUGAAGAAAGCCCUUCUUGUCCUGAAAAAAACAAUAUAUAACUUGUGUGGGUUUAGUAAAUGGGUUAAGAGAAAAUUACAGCUAAACACAAACACCGCAGAAACGAUAAAA